UGUCAUCAACUGGUGAUGCAAGAUGAGCCCAAUCACUAAACACUAUUUAGCCAACUCCAAAUUCUGCAACCAGACAGUAGAAGGCAUUUCAUACAUUUAAGCAGAGCUGCUGCACAAUGACUGUGUCCUUCUGCUUCUGAGAAUCAAAUAAUCCUUUUGCUAAGGAAGAAAAUCAGCUGGAACGGAUACUGUCAUGUCAUCUUCUUGAAGAAAGCUUUCAAUACAGUGCCUCUUCUCUGACCCAUUGCCCCUCCUUCGGCCAGAUGAGCUGAAGGCAGCCUAGUGCACAGCACCUUUCAGAUUUAAAGAGGCAGGCGCAUGAUCAUGAAGUUAUGUAACCGGGGCUCCCAUCGGUGAGGCUGAAUCCAUGGCAGUUCCCGUCAAGCUCUAACUUUGUCUUCUUUUCAACUCAUGCCUGCCUUGACCUAAAAUUUGCCCACAAUGUGGGUCUUGCUCUUGCCCUGUCCUUGCUCUCUUGGCUUCUGACUCUGGACCCCACCUCUUACUCUGCUCUCCUGGCAUGGAUGUGCAUGGCUGACUAUGCCUUCCUCCAUCUAACUUUAGUGUCACCACCUCCGGUUAGGACACACUGUGGGCUGACCUCUUUAAGUGACUACCAUGGAUGACCCCAGAGGGCUGCCCACACAUGUCCCGAGAUAUGGCCCAUCGGAAGGCAGAUGAGAAGUCCUCUAGUGAGGCAGGAGCUCACUUCAGGAGUUAGUCUUCUUGCCAGUGCCUUCUCUCUGCUCCUCUGAGGCUGGGUGGAUCCGAGAACCUUCGUCUAAUCAAGUUCCAGUUUUACCUCUCCCACUAUAUCUCUGGAUAUCCACAAGGAGCCUCUCUUGUGGGACCAGGAUAACAUGAAGAGAAGAAGAAAGGAGAGAAGAAAUGAUGAGUGAAAGCUUAAGUGAGACAUAGAUCCUCGCACUGCAUGCUCUGGGGUUGGUUGGAACAGAGGAUAAAAAUCAAAGAACUGGAUAAAACAUCUCUUUGAGGACACAGAGGAGUCAGUGAUGACACCCUUAACCUCUACUCCGUCUGGAGAACCCACCACCUUGGUUAUAAAAAUGAAGUUCUACUGAUAAUUAUAAAAAUAAAAUGUUUACAAGUUCAAGGAAUUCCUUGGAAGACUUGUUUAUACUUGCUGCCCCAAUUUCUCUCAUUUCAUUCACUUAAAAAACCCCACACAAUUUGCUAAGAUAUCAUUUACACACCAUGAAAUUAACCCAUUUAAAAUGUGUCAUUCAAUGGAUUUUAAUAUAUGUAUUUACAGAAUUGUGUGACCUGUAAUCUAAUUUUAGAACAUUUUUAUCACCCCGAAAAGAAACCUUGUACCCAUUAUCAGUCAUGCCUCCUUUGCCUCCACUCCCAGCCUUAAGUAAACAUUACUUUUCUUUGUCUCUAUAGAUUUGCCUCUUCUGGACAUUUCAUAUAAAUGGAUUCAUACAAUAUUGUCUUUUAUGUCUGGUCACUCUCACUUAGCAUAAUGUUAUCCAGGUUCAUUCUUGUAGAUGAUAUCAGUAUUUCAUUCCUCUUUAUGCCUGCAUAAUAUUCCAUUGUGUGGAUAUACCACAUUUUGUUUAUUCAUACACUGAUUGAUAAACAUUAAAGUUGUUUUUAUUUUUGGCAGUUAUGAAUAAUAUUGCCACAAAUGUUUGAGUACAAGUAUUUAUAAGGACAUAUGUGUUCAUGUCUCUUGGGUAGAUACCAACGAAUAGAAUUGCUGGGUUAUAAGGUCACUAACUCUAUGUUUAACAUUUUGAGGAAAUGACAAACUGUUUCCCUAAGUGCUGCAUCAUUUUAUAUUCCCAUUAGCGAUGUGUGAGAGCUCUGAUUUCUCCACAUCUUCACCAAAAAUUAUUUUUUAAAGUAUACUUGACACACAAUAUUAUAUUAAUUUCAGGUAUACAACACAGUGAGUUGACAUUUAUAUACCUUGUGAUGUGAUCACCACAAUAAGUCUAAUAGCCAUCUGUACCUUACAAAGUUAUGAUACCAUGGCCUAUUUUCCCUAUGCUAAACACUACAUUCACAUGACUUAUUUAUUUUAUAACUGGAAUUUUGUACCUCUUAUUCCUCUUUACAUUUUUCACCCAUCCCUCCAUGCCCCUCCCCUCACCUAUACUCUUAUUGUCUAUCGUUUCUACUCUAGCCAUCCUAGUGGGUAUGAUGUGGUAUCUCAUUUUGACUUUGAUUUGCAUUUCCCUGAAGACUAAUGAUGUUGAGCAUCUUUUCAUGAACUUAUUGGCCAUUUGUAUGUCUUCUUUGCUGAAUUAUCUACUCAAAUCCUUUGUCUAUUUUUAAAUUGGAUUAUUUGUCUUCUUAUUUUUUGACUUGUAGGGAUUCUUCAUAUAUUCCAGAUAUACAUACAUAUGCUUUGUAAAUAUCAUCUCCCUGCCUGUGGGUUACCACUUCACUUUCUUUAUGGUAUUCUUUGAAGUAGAAAAGUUUUUCAUUUUGACAAAGUCUAACUUGUCAAUCUUCUCUUUUACCACUUGUACUUUUGGUGUCAUAUCUGAGAAACCAUUGUCUAACCCAAGGUCGUAAGGAAUUACACCUGAGUUUUCUUCUAUGAGUUUUAUAGUUUUAGUUCUUACAUUUAGGUGUGUGAUCCACUUUAAGGUAAUUUUUAUGGUGUAUGGUAGGAAUUCAAAUUAUUCUUAUCAUGUGGAUAUCCAGUUGUCCCAAAAGCAUUUGUUGAAAAAACUAUUCUCACAAAAAUUCUGUACAUCUAAAACUAAAAGUUUAUUUAAAAAAAAUACAGGGUGCUCCCA